AUUGAACGCUGGAGGCAUGCUUAACACAUGCAAGUCGAACGGUAACAGGCCCUUCGGGGUGCUGACGAGUGGCGGACGGGUGAGUAAUGCUUAGGAAUCUGCCUAGUAGUGGGGGAUAACCCGGGGAAACUCGGGCUAAUACCGCAUACGCCCUACGGGGAAAGGACGGGGGACGUUUCGGUCCGUCCGCGCUAUUAGAUGAGCCUAA
rnacentral:rRNA from 1 species